UACGUGGGGCGCAAGCGUUGUCCGGAAUUAUUGGGCGUAAAGAGCUCGUAGGCGGUCUGUCGCGUCCGUUGUGAAAACUCGAGGCUCAACCUCGGGCUUGCAGUGGAUACGGGCAGACUAGAGUGCGGUAGGGGAGACUGGAAUUCCUGGUGUAGCGGUGAAAUGCGCAGAUAUCAGGAGGAACACCGGUGGCGAAGGCGGGUCUCUGGGCCGAUACUGACGCUGAGGAGCGAAAGCGUGGGGAGCGAACAGG
rnacentral:rRNA from 1 species